AGGAGAUGAAAACAUGGUCCCACAAAAAACUGUGCACGAAUGUUCACGGCACCUUUAUUGGUAAUAGCUGAAAACUGGAAACAGCGCAGAUGUCCUUCUGCAGCUUUUCCUUCCGUCCAUGAAGAAGAAGCCAGCGCCGGCGGAUGGCGGCAGUCCCGAGGGUGACCUGUUGCAGGAGCACUGGCUGGUGGAUGACAUGUUCAUCUUCGAGAACGUGGGCUUCACCAAGGACGUGGGCAAUGUCAAGUUUCUGGUGUGCGCAGACUGUGAGGUCGGACCCAUCGGCUGGCACUGCCUAGAUGACAAGAACAGUUUCUACGUGGCCUUGGAGCGGGUUUCCCAUGAGUAACGGAGGGGAGGGCCUCGGCCCCGCCCCACCAUAAAGGCUGCUCCCCCGGGCCUGGCCCUCCCCCACGGUGUGACUCUGUCGCCAUGUCACCGCGCCUUCUCUGGGCUGACACCAGCCGUCGGAGUGCGUGCCUGUGUCAGUUCACUAAUCUCCUGCCCUCCCCCAUACACACACACCCGGGUUAGGACACGGGGGACUUCCACAAGCCUUCCUCCCCCACGCCAUACCCAGGGCUCCUGUUCCUGCCCUCAGAGAGCAGCCUUCAGCCUCUUAGCCACCACACGCGGCAAGGGGUGCUUGUGGGCUGAUGCUUGAAACACACCUUUCUCUCCUGUUCAAGAAAGCACACAGGCAUCUGAGAGCAUCUUUGCUGUGUGACUACCUUUAUCUCCAGUAAUUUAUUUCUAAAAGUAAAGCAUUGACAAACCAUGGGAUUGAAACCACUAAGGCAACGUCCUUUGGACACACCUCCAAUACCACGUUCAAGGGCCUCUGUGCUAGGCUGACACGGACUUUUUAUCACCAGGUGGGCUGUGGUCCCUCUUUCCUUCAGAUGUUGAUGUGGCUUCUCUUUUUUUUGGCUUCUGAAAGCUGCACCUGCACAGCAUAAGGAAGGAAGUUGUUCCCAGGCUAGGGGUUAAAUAGGAGUUACAGUUGCCGGCCUACACCACAGCCAUAGCAACUCAGGAUCCGAGCCGUGUCUGCAACCUACAGCACAGCUCACGGCAAUGCCGGAUCCCCGACCCACUGAGGGAGAUCAGGGAUCGAACCACAUCCUCAUGGAGACUAGUCACAUUUGUUUCCACUGUACCACGAUGGGAACUCCAAUGUGGCUUCUCUUUAUGUUAGGUCCUCACUCCUAUAGCCAGUAAAUUGAAAAUCUGAGUUUCAAUGCCAUCCAUCGGCCAACCCAAGGACAACUCAGCCCUGGAUGUUUUCCCGGGAUCACUGGGAUCAGAGUGUGGAAUACAAGGGGAUAGGCCUUUGCCACAUUACACACGAGUUUAUAGGCCUGUCUUAUCUGGACACGUCACUCUUGCUUUGCUCCUGGGAAAGAUGUCCUUAACAGAUGGUGCAUCGUUCCUGCACCUCCCGGACGUGGCCCUCGCCCAAACUGCUUUAGGGGGAAUCUCUAGACCAACCCAGAAUCCAGAUGUGCCAUCCAGAUGCCACUGUCUAUAGCCGUGCGCUUGCCUUAAGUGUGAUGUUCGGUGUGCUACUCAGUUCAUCAGUUCUCGGCUGAAGCGGCCCACCGUCUCAAAGGGAAUCCCUACAGCCAGGUUUUGCCCCUGCCCCCCAGUCCCCACCUCUGACUCGCAGGAGACCCAGGACGGAAAUGAGGACUAAAUAGAGACCUCGUAAACCUGCUGGCGCGAUUCGUGUUUUCUGCGUGUUCCCUCCCUCCUUCUUCCUCAGAACUUACUUGAAGUGCUCCCCAACUUCAGUGUGGGCCUCGGCACGGUUUUGCAAUUAAUCUCCUCUCCAGGAAAGGUGGUUCCUUCCCUGCCCGUAGCCACAUGAGUUCUGCUAGAAAAGGAGGGGACUCUUUCCAGACACGGUCAGAAGUCCAUGAUUUUGACGUUUGCAGGAAACCUAAGAAGAUCCACUCGGGUCAGAAGGAGCAAAACCAAGCAGAUGCUUCCGGGUGCUUGUGGCUCUCAUAUCACGAGCCAAACCCAAUUCACCUUUUCCUUUUCUUUCCUUUUUUUUUAUAAUUUUUUUUUUUUUUCUUUUCUAGAGCUGCACCUGUGGUAUAUGGAGGUUCCCAGGCUAGGGUUCUCAUCGGAGCUGUAGCCACCGGCCUACACCACAGCCACAGCAACACAGGGUCCAAGCCACGUCUGCAACCUACACCACAGUUCAUGGCAAUGCCGGAUCCUUAACCCACUGAGCGAGGCCAGGGAUCAAACCCGAAACCUCAUGGUUCCUGGUAGGAUACGUUAACCACUGAGCCAUGAUGGGAACUCCAUUCCUUUUCUUUCCUUUUUUAAUCUUAGAAAUAGUACACUCAUUGCAGAUAGCUACAAACAUGGGUAUAAAAAUGUUUUUAAUCAUUCAUGUUCCCACCACCGUUGGGAUUGCUGAUGGUAAUGUGGUUUAUGUUCUGCUCCAUGUUUUUCUAUGUGUUGUGUAAAUAAACAUGUAGGAUUUUUAAAAAC
ensembl:lncRNA